GGAGGAAAGAAUGGAAGGAGUAAAAUCCCUGAAAGGAAACCAGGCUAGCUGCAUUUUAUCCAGUGUUGCCAUCAUUAGUCUUGUUAAAUAAGCAGAGAACAGGACUAAGUGCAUAACAUUAAAGGAAAAUAACAAGGAAAUUAUCGGUCAGACUUGACAGGAUGAGGAUCAUUGCUGAAAUCACAAGGAGCUGGUGCAAAGGGAGUCUGCAGAGAGUUAUGCUGAAAGCAAAUUGAUGGGAAUCCCAUAUUUUUCUGUCAUGUGACAUAAAACACCAUCUAAUUGUAUGGUAAAAGAGCAGGAUAUACACAGCAUAGAGUGUCACACAGAAGAACCAAAGGAAAUCCACUUUUUUCUGAGGAAGGAGUUAUAUCAUAUGGAACAUGUUAAAUAAGAACAUCAGGAGUAAGAACACUUGAAUUCUGUGCCCACAUUACUAAAAUUCAGAGAUGGUGAUGGCUGCUGCACACCUCAGAGAGCUUCCUCAGUGACAAAAAGGCACCCAACACUUCUUAACUAAAAGUGGCUGCUGAAAGAUCAUCAAGUACAACUCUCAUUAAUGUUUUCUAUAAUGAUCAUGUUACGGAAUAGAAUGGAAUUAUAUAUAUAUUUU